rnacentral:siRNA from 1 species
AUAACUGGUGGCUGCUCUGUC